rnacentral:rRNA from 1 species
GCCGGCAGCUAGCUCUCUGUAACUCUCACAUGGUCGCCCACUGAAGCUAAGCAGGGCUGUGCCCGGUCAGUACCUGGAUGGGAGACCACAUGGGAAAGCUAGGUUGCUGCCGGAA